GCUGGAAUAGCUCAGUUGUUUAAAGCGUGUGGCUGUUAACCACAAGGUCGGAGGUUCAAGCCCUCCUUUCUAGCG
rnacentral:tRNA from 1 species